CAGAAUUGUAGUUUAAUAAAAAUAUUAGCAUUGGAAGCUAAAGAAUGGGUUUUACUCCCACAUUCUGA
rnacentral:tRNA from 1 species